UUGCUCUCAAGAAGUUAGCGGCGGACGGGUGAGUAACACGUGGGUAACCUGCCCAUAAGACUGGGAUAACUCCGGGAAACCGGGGCUAAUACCGGAUAACAUUUUGAACUGCAUGGUUCGAAAUUGAAAGGCGGCUUCGGCUGUCACUUAUGGAUGGACCCGCGUCGCAUUAGCUAGUUGGUGAGGUAACGGCUCACCAAGGCAACGAUGCGUAGCCGACCUGAGAGGGUGAUCGGCCACACUGGGACUGAGACACGGCCCAGACUCCUACGGGAGGCAGCAGUAGGGAAUCUUCCGCAAUGGACGAAAGUCUGACGGAGCAACGCCGCGUGAGUGAUGAAGGCUUUCGGGUCGUAAAACUCUGUUGUUAGGGAAGAACAAGUGCUAGUUGAAUAAGCUGGCACCUUGACGGUACCUAACCAGAAAGCCACGGCUAACUACGUGCCAGCAGCCGCGGUAAUACGUAGGUGGCAAGCGUUAUCCGGAAUUAUUGGGCGUAAAGCGCGCGCAGGUGGUUUCUUAAGUCUGAUGUGAAAGCCCACGGCUCAACCGUGGAGGGUCAUUGGAAACUGGGAGACUUGAGUGCAGAAGAGGAAAGUGGAAUUCCAUGUGUAGCGGUGAAAUGCGUAGAGAUAUGGAGGAACACCAGUGGCGAAGGCGACUUUCUGGUCUGUAACUGACACUGAGGCGCGAAAGCGUGGGG
rnacentral:rRNA from 1 species